UUUUUUUUUACAUAACAAUAAUCAUAUUAAUUUAUAUCUAUGAGAAAACAUCCUGUAUAACAAUUAGUACUGUUUUUGUUUUUUCAUUUUCAACUCAUCUGUGAGCAAAACCUCAUUAGUAAUCAGUUUCGUCAAUUAAAAGUUUCUGUAUCAGAUUAUAUAUAAGAAAUAUAUUGUCUGAAAAAUACAUUUCUGAAUAAUAAAUAGCCAGUUUAUCACAUAUGAACCACAGAUACUCUCAAGUACAAAGUGCUUACAAGAAUAAAUUAAAUCUUGAUUUGUAUAAGAAAUUCCUUUAUAAAGUCAAAUAAUUAUCGUCAAUAUAAUUUGUUUAUCUUGACAGUUUAUGCAUGAUGUUUCUGAAAAUAUUUGUUAUGACAAAGUUAAGUUUCGCAGAUAAACAGUGUGCACAUGUAAACUGCUAACACUUACUACAAAUAUUCGUUUUUACUCUAGGCACAAAACCCAACAUUUUUGGGGAUGGGGGUGGCAGUCAAUUAGAUCGACCCCAGUGCACAACUGGUACUUAAUUUAUUGACUCCAAAAGGAUGUAAGGCAAGAUUGACCUCGGCAGAAUUUGAACUCAGAACAUAAAGACAUGAAAUACCGCUAAGCAUUUCGCCCGGCAUGCUAAUAUUUCUGCCAGUUCGCCACCUUACUCACCACAAAUAUUGCAGCAAGACUGAUUAUAAAACAGAAUUGUGAUAACAAAGUGUCUCUGCCCCUUCUAUAGGGGCUUCUCCCAUCUGCAUACCUUAUGUAUGCAGAAUUUUGAAAAGUAGAUUUGUGAACAACCCACCUAGGAACACAUCCAUAGCAAGAAGAUUGGAAGUAUUGAUGGAAUUACAAAUAUCCCAAAAGUUGACAGAACCCCUUUGAAGUCUUCAGCAGAAUUCCCUGAAAUGCUAACAUUUCAACCAGAUCUCUGGUAUAAGGAAAACUUGAUAUCCUGAUGUGCUGCUUCCUCCUGCAUUAACCCAAGAACUGUAGUUUCUUCCUCUUCUUUCCUUCUACCUGUAAGAAAUGGGUGUUACCCUGUCUCUGAUAAAACCAAAAUUAAAAAAAAAAAGAAGCUAUUUAGAAAAAG